GCUGGGCACAGUGGUGCAUGCCUGUAAUCCCAGCAACUUGGGAGGCUGAGGCAGGAGGUCUAUAAGUUCAAGGCCCAGCCUCAGCAAUUUAGCAAGGCCCUAACCAAUUCAGUGAGACCCUGUCUCUA
rnacentral:sRNA from 1 species